rnacentral:tRNA from 5 species
GCAGACGCUGCCGUACAGUUCGUUCAGCCCGGUGAUGUGAGCCGGACGUUGAUCGGUUACCACUUUGAAUGGUUAGGUCGCGGGUUCGAAUCCCGUCUGUCUCGCU